rnacentral:rRNA from 1 species
GUAGUCCUACGGGGCGCAGCAGUGAGGAAUAUUGGUCAAUGGGCGCAAGCCUGAACCAGCCAAGUCGCGUGAGGGAUGACGGUCCUAUGGAUUGUAAACCUCUUUUGUCGGGGAGCAAGGCCCGCCACGUGUGGCGGGAAGGAGAGUACCCGAAGAAAAAGCAUCGGCUAACUCCGUGCCAGCAGCCGCGGGAAUACGGAGGAUGCGAGCGUUAUCCGGAUUUAUUGGGUUUAAAGGGUGCGGAGGCGGAAGGGUAAGGCAGCGGUCAAAUGGCGGUGCUC